rnacentral:rRNA from 1 species
UAAUACGGAGGGUGCGAGCGUUGUCCGGAAUCACUGGGCGUAAAGGGCGCGUAGGCGGCCCGGUAAGUAGGGGGUGAAAUCUUGCGGCUUAACCGCAAGGCUGCCUUCUAGACUGCCAGGCUCGAGCACAGUAGAGGCAGGUGGAAUUCCCGGUGUAGCGGUGGAAUGCGUAGAGAUCGGGAAGAACAUCAGUGGCGAAGGCGGCCUGCUGGACUGUAGCUGACGCUGAGGCGCGACAGCGUGGGGAGCAAACAGGAUUAGAUACCCUGGUAGUCCACGCCGUAAACGAUGGGCACUAGGCGUCGGGGGGAGCGACCCUCCCGGUGCCGUCGCUAACGCAGUAAGUGCCCCGCCUGGGGAGUACGGCCGCAAGGCUGAAACUUAAAUGAAUUGACGG